GUUGGGUGGUAUAGAAACAACACAUUCAUAGGCUUGGAGUGGAAGAAAUGCGGAUGCUAAUAUGGAUGGAUGUGUGGAAAUAUAAGGAUAAGAAUGAAUGCAUUGGUAGGUAGGUGGAAGUGGCACAUACUGAGGAAAAGUUGAGAGGAAGGAGAUUAGGAUGGUUUGAACAUGGUCAUUGUAGACUAGCUAAUGCACUGGUAUAGAAUAUUGGCAUGC
rnacentral:misc_RNA from 1 species